AUGAAACAAUCUAUUGGACAGAAGCCUCAGAUAUUAGCAAGGACAUGGAACUAUCAAACAGAAGCUACAUUUUUCAAUGAGUUUGAAAACAGUAAACGUCUUAGUGCUCAGAUAGCAAAUGAGACCUUUAACCUGACUGUCUCACAUGUAGAGCUGUCAGAUUCAGCCACAUACUACUGCGCUAUUACACGCUUCAGAGAGAUGAGCAUUGGAGAUGGAACUACUGUAAUUGUGCUGGGGCCAGAGUCCCAGAGCAGGACAGUAGUGCUGCAGCAGCCCGAGUCUGAGUCAGUGCAGCCAGGAGACUCUGUGACUCUGCAGUGUACAGUACACACUGAGACCUGUGCAGGAGAACACAGUGUGCACUGGUUCAGACCGGGCUCAGGAGAGUCCCCUCCAGGAAUCAUUCACACCCAUGGACACAGGAGUGAUGAGUGCCAGAGGAGCUCUGGGACUGUGUCUCCCACACAGAGUUGUGUCUACAACUUCCCCAAGAGGGACCUCAGCCUCUCUGAUGCUGGGACUUACUACUGUGCUGUGGCCACCUGUGGGGAGAUCCUGUUUGGGAACGGGACCAAGCUGGACUUUAAGGGUAGGAACAACACAGUCACAUUGUGA